rnacentral:lncRNA from 1 species
AUGGAGUUGGCUUGGGACUUUCCAUCUCAAUCCCACGCACUUACUGAGGAGUUUGCUCUUUUCCAUUCUUUCGCACCUUCUAGUUUUUUUCAUAACUCCGUCAGCAGAGUUGCAAAGGUUACCGCGCCGCUCAUCGCGCUGAGUCAAAGCUGUUCGUUCCUCUCACUCUUUCUGACGAUUCUGCAUAAAAUCUGGACUGCCGACAUUCAUCUACUGGAAUUGGGUCUUUGCAUUGCGUGAAUAAUGGCGAAAAACGUUACCUCUAUACUGUUGUUGGUCUGCGUCACAUUUUUGGUGAUCGUCUCAUCCCCGCAGAACGUGGCCCAAGGUGACGUUCUCAUCGGAAGUUGCGUCUGGGGCGGAGUGAACUACACCUCUGACUGCUUGAAAGAGUGCAAACGACGAGGAUACAAAGGCGGACAUUGUGGAAGUGCUUUGAAUGUAAAUUGUUGGUGCGAAACCCGUAAAUAAGAUUAUCUAAUAAAAUCAGGCUGAGCAAUUUAGAAAACUUUAUGAAUCCCAAUCUAUAAUACAAGGAGUCAAAGUUGGUAAUGUGUACUGAAAGUGUGAAACGUUGCAAUAUAAUACAAUUUUUAUUAAGCCACUCUAGUUCUUGUUCCUUAACUUCAACAGUAUUUCAGGGAAUGUACACUAAAAAUAUCACUGCUAUCUCGGAAACGAUUGGAUGAAAAAAAGGCAUGAAUCCUCUUUAUGGAUUGUUUUUUUUUUUGGGGGGGGGGGGGAAGGUUGGACUGGUAUUUAAGAAAAAGGAAGUCUUGAAUAUAUGUACAUAAAACUCUUAAGCUUUAAAUCAACGUAUACCAUUUCAAAAUAUGAUGCUCAUUCAUUUCGUCACCCUCCGGCCAAAGUAUCACAAGCGCCAUAUGUGACGUUUAAAAAUUUCCGCCACAAUUUUAUUUUAUUAUUUUUUUUUUUUUCAGAAAAAUUGUGCAACGAAGUUGUCCGAAAAGAGCCUCCCAAAAUUUAGCCCCUUUUUCGGCAGUCGAUUCGACCAUCGGAUUAAAGUUCGAAUGGAAGCUUAUAACUCGAGGUCUAUCGAUCUGACAAACCGAUUUUUUGCGAUUUCUUACGGAAAACCGAUGGUUUCUUGAAAUUAAAAUUUUAUUUAUUUUAAUCAAUGCGAGAGUGAAGGUAUACACCCGACACGACUACAGAUUUUCUGUUAGUCUGGCGGAACCAAAUAUAUUGACACCAGAGUGAAUGAGUAAAUGAAUGACUACACUUAGAAUGAUUUAAGAGGAGACAAACAUAUACCUUUUUAUGGAGCAUUAUGUCGCAGGCAGUCAGCAAUCAUUGGAAAAUUGCAAGCAGAUGCUUGUUAACUCGUCAAAUUGCAAUAAUCCGCAUGGACAUAGCAAAGUGUAUGGAGGGUACCGGUACCUGCUGUGCUCUCUGGGAUAUAGUGAGAGGUUUCAUUGACAAAGAACUUUAAAAGUGCGAACUCCGUAUGGAGCGCCUACCGAUCCUAUGAUACUCUCUGCGUUGCUUGGCAGUUAGUUUAGUUGCUUAACCAAACCGAA